rnacentral:rRNA from 1 species
AUUGAACGCUGGCGGCAUGCCUUACACAUGCAAGUCGAACGGCAGCACGGGUGCUUGCACCUGGUGGCGAGUGGCGAACGGGUGAGUAAUACAUCGGAACGUACCUUAUCGUGGGGGAUAACGCAGCGAAAGCUGUGCUAAUACCGCAUACGCCCUGAGGGGGAAAGCGGGGGAUCGCAAGACCUCGCGCGAUUAGAGCGGCCGAUGCCUGAUUAGCUAGUUGGUGGGGUAAAAGCCCACCAAGGCGACGAUCAGUAGCUGGUCUGAGAGGACGAUCAGCCACACUGGGACUGAGACACGGCCCAGACUCCUACGGGAGGCAGCAGUGGGGAAUUUUGGACAAUGGGGGCAACCCUGAUCCAGCAAUGCCGCGUGAGUGAAGAAGGCCUUCGGGUUGUAAAGCUCUUUUGUCAGGGAAGAAACACCGGCUCUAACACAGUCCGGGAAUGACGGUACCUGAAGAAUAAGCACCGGCUAACUACGUGCCAGCCGCCGCUGUAAUAC